GAUGAAGAACGUAGCGAAAUGCGAUACGUAAUGUGAAUUGCAGAAUUCAGUGAAUCAUCGAAUCUUUGAACGCAUAUUGCGCUCUCUGGUAUUCCGGAGAGCAUGCUUGUUUGAGUAUCAGUAAACACCUCAACUCUUUUUUCUUUUUUGAAAUUGGAGCUGGACUUGAGUGAUCCCAACGCUUUCUUCCAAGAAAGUGGCGGGUUGCUUGAAAUGCAGGUGCAGCUGAACUUUUCUCUGAGCUAUAAGCAUAUCUAUUUAGUCUGCCUAAAAAACAGAUUAUUACCUUUGCUGCAGCUAACAUAAAGGAGACUAGUUCUUGUGCUGACUGAUGCAGGAUUCACAGAGACAGUUUCGGCUGACUUUGUAAACUCGAUCUCAAAUCAAGUAAGACUACCCGCUGAACUUAAGCAUAUCAAUAAGAGGAGGA
rnacentral:misc_RNA from 1 species